GGCUGAGUGGUAAAGCGCUAGGCUUCCGAAUCAAGGAGUCCAGGGUUCAAAUCCCUG
rnacentral:tRNA from 1 species